GUUUUACCUUGACGAAUUGUAGUUUAAAGAAGUGUUUUCUGUUGAAGUUUUGGUAAAAGUUCUUUGGAAUAGGACAUCAUAGAGGGUGAGAAUCCCGUAUUUGACCAUUAUUUUCAGCUGUGUGAUACACUUUCAAAGAGUCGGAUUGUUUGGGAAUGCAGUCCAAAAUGGGUGGUAAGUUUCAUCUAAAGCUAAAUAUUGGCGAGAGACCGAUAGCGAACAAGUACCGUGAGGGAAAGAUGAAAAGAACUUUGAAAAGAGAGUUAAACAGUACGUGAAAUUGUCAAAAGGGAAGCGUUUGACACCAGUGUUGUUUUCUCGAAAAUCAAUUAAAAAAAGUUGGAUUUUGUGUUGUAUUGACCUUAACAGCUUUCUGCACUCUUUUCCUGCUUUUUUU
rnacentral:rRNA from 1 species